GGCUCGAUGAUUUCUUCGCCUGUAAAGGCAAUAUACGCUAUUCUGAAUCAUUUGUGUUGUCAUUCAUAAUUUUUCUAUGAGAGUU
rfam:Spinacia oleracea cultivar SynViroflay scaffold6213.con0003.1, whole genome shotgun sequence.